rnacentral:rRNA from 1 species
GCCCCGGAUACGCCCUUUUGGGGAAAGGCUUGCUGCCGAAGGAUCGGCCCGCGUCUGAUUAGCUAGUUGGUGGGGUAAUGGCCUACCAAGGCGACGAUCAGUAGCUGGUCUGAGAGGAUGAUCAGCCACACUGGGACUGAGACACGGCCCAGACUCCUACGGGAGGCAGCAGUGGGGAAUAUUGGACAAUGGGCGCAAGCCUGAUCCAGCCAUGCCGCGUGAGUGAUGAAGGCCUUAGGGUUGUAAAGCUCUUUUGUCCGGGACGAUAAUGACGGUACCGGAAGAAUAAGCCCCGGCUAACUUCGUGCCAGCCGCCGCGGUAAUAC